GAUGAAGAACGUAGCGAAAUGCGAUAAGUAGUGUGAAUUGCAGAAUUCAGUGAAUCAUCGAAUCUUUGAACGCACAUUGCGCCCCUUGGUAUCCCGAGGGGCAUGCCUGUUCGAGCGUCAUUUCACCACUCAAGCCUGGCUUGGUGUUGGGCGACGUCCCCUUUGGGGACGCGCCUCGAAACGCUCGGCGGCGUGGCACCGGCUUUAAGCGUAGCAGAAUCUUUCGCUUUGGAAGUCGGGGCCCCGUCUGCCUGAAGACCUACUCGCAAGGUUGACCUCGGAUCAGGCAGGGAUACCCGCUGAACUUAAGCAUAUCAAUAAGCGGAGGA
rnacentral:misc_RNA from 1 species